GGAAGCUCCAGCCUCCAACCCUACCGAGCGGAUCGGCGGACGCGGGGCAAGCUGCGGCCGGCGACCAGCGUGGCGGCACCACUGGUUGCCCUGGCCGGCAGGAAGUGCCGCGCACCCGCGCGGCCGUGUACUCAGCUAGCGAGCCUGGGACUGCGGGUCUGCGGCGCCUGCGCCCACGCGCCGACGGCCGGAUCUCAGCUCGUGCGGCUGUUGAGCGGCGAACCUAUAGUCGGCGUUCAGUAAGCAGGAAGCAGCAGCCUGCGCCGGCGACGCACCAGGAGCCAGAAGCCAGGCGCCCGCAUUUGGCAUCUGUCCUUGGAGAAAAAAAUUAAGUUUUCCCACGGUCAACUUUGAGCCCACCCUCCACUUUCUUCCUAGAUUCGCCACUGGCCCUGCCCGGUGCACUUUGGCACACCGGUGGGAAGCCAAGUUGGAAUUUCAAUGGCGUCCAGGUUCAAUGUGAUCGUCAAGGUGAGUGCUUGUCGCGACAUCAACGUAGAGGUUAAUAAGUUAACCAGCGUUGAAAGGCUGAAGGAGCUCAUCGAGGACGAAGCGGAAAUCCCCGCCGCGUUUCAGCGGAUGUUCCUCAAAGGAAAGGAGCUUGACGAUGACUGCGAGAUGAUUGACUACGGCGUCGUGGAAGGCUCUGUCUUCAUGGUUAUCAGCCGCAAAUUUAUUUCCUUGCAUCGAUCUAGUAGUAACAAUAAAGAUAGGAGUCCAUCAUCGUCUUAGAUUUCAUCGAGGCAUCAGGCAGUGCUUGUGUUACUAGUGAUGGUUUCAGUUGAUGCUUAGUUUUGUUUUGGCAGGAUCAGAUUUAUAUAUGUAAUCCACGAAUGAGCAAAUGUAUAUUGUCGUGUAUGUGUUUGGGUAUGUCAUGGUUAAA